AGGUCAGCAACCAUCAGGCAAAACCAGUGAUGGACAUUCCUUUUGGGUUCAUGGAAAUGACACAGAGUCAAAUGUGUAUGAAAACUGUUGAAGAGACAGUAAUUAUGGUUCAUAGUUUCUUAUAUGGUGGUCCAGUCAGUCUAAUGGGUGACUGUAAUGUAUCACAAAUCACCUCUCCGACACGAAAAACACAGGAUACCUGUACUCUAAUAGAUCACAUGUACACUAACAUUCUAUGUAAAAGUGUGUUACCAAUGGGUAUUAGUGAUAAUCACGUGUUAUUUGUCGUUCAUAAGCUGCGACAAAACAUGAACCAGAGAUUUUCGACGAAGUUGACGACGACUGGCAAACAUUUAAGGAAUUCUUCUUUGAAGCAUCUAUCUUUAAAGGAAAAAACGUGCAAGGCCAAAAACAGAACCAUGGAUCAAUGUUGAUAUUUUGAGUGAAAUGUUUAACCGAGAUUAUCAUCAUAAAAAGGCCAGGAUAUAAAAAUUUGAAACUGACUGGCAGUUGUUUCGCGCAUCUCGUAGGAUCACGUGCAAAACGAGACUUCUUAGACAAGGUUAUCCUGGAAUGUCCGAAUAAUUCAAAGGAAAUGUGUAGGAGGAUUAAAACAUUUCUUCCCAAUCAAAAUCUUCUCUUCCUUCGAGUAUCAAAGUCAAUGACACUGACGUUUACAGAUGACUUUGAUAUUUCAAAUGGUUUCAAUAUUUUUUUAUAGUACCAUUGCCCCUAAAAUUGCAACCAUAUAUGACGACAGCCUUCUACAUGUAGAUUUAUCUAAUACUAAUAACAAGUUUGUUAUACCCCAUGUAAACAAUGAAUUAGUAUGUAAACAAAUAAAACUACUAGGUGUAAAGUUAAUGAAAUUUGCUGGUGAUACUGUAAAUAAUCCACUUGUUUGUAUUUUUAGUUUAUCUAUUAAUUCAUGUUCAUUUCCAAUAGAAUUGAAAACUGCAAAAGUUUCUCUAGUGUUCAGGUCUGGUGAUAGGUCUGAUGUCAACAAUUAUAUGCCUUUCUCUGUUUUACUAUUGUAAAUAAGAUACUGGAGUGACACGUGCAUGAUUAUCUCUAUACGUGUCUCUGUGAUUACAGUCUGUUGAUUGACAUUCAGUUUGGGUUUCGUCCAAAUCACUGUCCAAGUCAAAUGAGUCGGCACUUGUGAACUUGAAAAGUGGUUUAAGAAUAUGGACGAUGGUAAACCUACAGGUGCCAUUUUCCUUGAUCUAAGCAAGGAAUCCGACACGGUGAAUCACCAUGUGCUUCUUCAAAAACUUUAAAUGUUUCGGAAUGUCAGAUAUGUGCCUUAGAUUCUUUUCUUUAUACCUUAAAUAUAUACACACAUGUGUAAAUGUUAAAGGUAAAUUGUCCAAGUUUGUACCUGUGACAACUGCUGAUCCUCAAGGAUUCAUCCUUCGACCCUUCUUUUUUAUACUUUAUAUGAAUGACUACAGUAAACACUUCAAGGGACUAAAAUAAACGAUAUUUAAUUUAGUCUGUCAGAAGAUCUUAAGCGUACAGUUAAUCGUAAGGAUCAGAACAAACUUAGUUUGAACCUGAAUAAGACUCAAUGCAUGAUGCUUGGCUCAUGCCAAAAGCUAUCAAAA